AGAGUUUGAUCAUGGCUCAGGACGAACGCUGGCGGCGUGCUUAACACAUGCAAGUCGAACGAGAUCCAUUCAGUAGCAAUACUGAUGAAGAUCUAGUGGCGAACGGGUGCGUAACACGUGAGGAACUUGUCCCGGUCUCUGGGAUAACAGUUGGAAACGACUGCUAAUACCGGAUGACGUCGGAACUUCGCAUGGAGUACUGACGAAAGGGUUACUGGAUCGGGAGAGCCUCGCGGCCUAUCAGCUUGUUGGUGGGGUAACGGCCUACCAAGGCAUCGACGGGUAGCUGGUCUGAGAGGAUGAUCAGCCACACUGGGACUGAGGCACGGCCCAGACUCCUACGGGAGGCAGCAGUGGGGAAUCUUGCACAAUGGGCGAAAGCCUGAUGCAGCAACCCCGCGUGCGGGAAGAAGGCCCUCGGGUUGUAAACCGCUUUCAGAAGGAACGAAACUGACGGUACUUUCAGAAGAAGGUGCGGCCAACUACGUGCCAGCAGCCGCGGUGACACGUAGGCCCCAAGCGUUGUCCGGAUUUAUUGGGCGUAAAGAGCUCGUAGGCGGUUCAGUAAGUCGGGUGUGAAAACUUUGGGCUUAACCCAAAGCGCUGCAUCCGAUACUGCUGUGACUUGAGUUCGGUAGGGGAGUGUGGAAUUCCUAGUGUAGCGGUGAAAUGCGCAGAUAUUAGGAGGAACACCGGUGGCGAAGGCGCCACUCUGGGCCGAAACUGACGCUGAGGAGCGAAAGCAUGGGUAGCAGACAGGAUUAGAUACCCCGGUAGUCC
rnacentral:rRNA from 1 species